ensembl:miRNA Gm24541 predicted gene, 24541
UCUUCCUCCUCCUUUUCCUUCUUCUCAUCAUCAUCAUCAUCAUCAUCAUCAUCAUCAUCAUCAUAGGAGGAGAAGGAGGAGAAGGAGGAGAAGGAG